ACGUAGGGGGCAAGCGUUAUCCGGAUUUACUGGGUGUAAAGGGAGCGUAGACGGUUUUGCAAGUCUGAAGUGAAAGCCCGGGGCUUAACCCCGGGACUGCUUUGGAAACUGUAGGACUAGAGUGCAGGAGAGGUAAGUGGAAUUCCUAGUGUAGCGGUGAAAUGCGUAGAUAUUAGGAGGAACACCAGUGGCGAAGGCGGCUUACUGGACUGUAACUGACGUUGAGGCUCGAAAGCGUGGGGAGCAAACAG
rnacentral:rRNA from 1 species